GUAUGGCUGUAUGUAUACCAAAACUGAAAUGAUACUGAGUAGAUUAGCAUUGUUCCUGCGCCAGGAUGAUACGCAAAUUCGUGAAGCGUUCUACACACAC
rnacentral:snRNA from 1 species